GUUUAAUAAUUUAUUAAUUUGAAUAUUUUAAGAAUUUAUUUUUUUGAAUUAAUAAUUUAUUUUGUUGGGGUGAUAGGAAAAUUUAUAUAACUUUUUUUUAUUUUUUACAAUGAUAAAUGAUUAUUUGAUCCAAAUUUUUUGAUUAAAAGUUUAAAU
rnacentral:rRNA from 1 species